rnacentral:rRNA from 1 species
GAGUUUGAUCAUGGCUCAGGAUGAACGCCGGCGGUGUGCCUAAUACAUGCAAGUCGUACGCACUGGCCCAACUGAUUGAUGGUGCUUGCACCUGAUUGACGAUGGAUCACCAGUGAGUGGCGGACGGGUGAGUAACACGUAGGUAACCUGCCCCGGAGCGGGGGAUAACAUUUGGAAACAGAUGCUAAUACCGCAUAACAACAAAGGCCACAUGGCUUUUGUUUGAAAGAUGGCUUUGGCCAUCACUCUGGGAUGGACCUGCGGUGCAUUAGCUAGUUGGUAAGGUAACGGCUUACCAAGGCGAUGAUGCAUAGCCGAGUUGAGAGACUGAUCGGCCACAAUGGAACUGAGACACGGUCCAUACUCCUACGGGAGGCAGCAGUAGGGAAUCUUCCACAAUGGGCGCAAGCCUGAUGGAGCAACACCGCGUGAGUGAAGAAGGGUUUCGGCUCGUAAAGCUCUGUUGUUGGGGAAGAACGUGCGUGAGAGU